rnacentral:rRNA from 1 species
CACGCCGCGUGAGGGAUGAAGGCCUCUGGGCUGUAACCUCUUUUAUCAAGGAAGAAGAUCUGACGGUACUUGAUGAAUAAGCCACGGCUAAUUCCGUGCCAGCAGCCGCGGUAAUACGGGAGUGGCAAGCGUUAUCCGGAAUUAUUGGGCGUAAAGCGUCCGCAGGCGGUCUUUUAAGUCUGUCGUCAAAGCGUGGAGCUUAACUCCAUUUCUGCGAUGGAAACUGGAAGACUAGAGUGUGGUAGGGGCAGAGGGAAUUCCCGGUGUAGCGGUGAAAUGCGUAGAUAUCGGGAAGAACACCAGUGGCGAAGGCGCUCUGCUGGGCCAUAACUGACGCUCAUGGACGAAAGCCAGGGGAGCGAAAGGGAUUAGAUACCCCUGUAGUCCUGGCCGUAAACGAUGAACACUAGGUGUCGGGGGAAUCGACCCCCUCGGUGUCGUAGCCAACGCGUUAAGUGUUCCGCCUGGGGAGUACGCACGCAAGUGUGAAACUCAAAGGAAUUGACGGGGGCCCGCACAAGCGGUGGAGUAUGUGGUUUAAUUCGAUGCAACGCGAAGAAACCUUACCAGGGUUUGAAAUCCUGCGAAUCUCUUGGAAACGAG